rnacentral:rRNA from 1 species
UACGUAGGGACCGAGCGUUUGUCCGGAAUCAUUGGGCGUAAAGAGCUCGUAGGCGGCUUGUCACGUCGAUUGUGAAAGCCCGAGGCUUAACCUCGGGUCUGCAGUCGAUACGGGCUAGCUAGAGUGUGGUAGGGGAGAUCGGAAUUCCUGGUGUAGCGGUGAAAUGCGCAGAUAUCAGGAGGAACACCGGUGGCGAAGGCGGAUCUCUGGGCCAUUACUGACGCUGAGGAGCGAAAGCGUGGGGAGCGAACAGG